AGACAGGUGCUGCAUGGCUGUCGUCAGCUCGUGUCGUGAGAUGUGGUUAAGUCCGCAACGAGCGCAACCCCUAUCUUUAGUUGCCAUCAUUGAGUUGGGCACUCUAAAGAGACUGCCGGUGGUCAAACCGGAGGAAGGUGGGGAUGACGUCAAGUCCUCAUGGCCUUUAUGACCAGGGCUACACACGUACUACAAUGGCCGGUACAAAGGGCAGCGACACAGCGAUGUGAAGCGAAUCCCGAAAAGCCGGUCUCAGUCCGGAUUGGAGUCUGCAACUCGACUCCAUGAAGUUGGAAUCGCUAGUAAUCGCGGAUCAGCACGCCGCGGUGAAUACGUUCCCGGGCCUU
rnacentral:rRNA from 1 species